GUUCUGAAGUAACUUCAUUUCCAGCUAUAGUCUCGUUUUAACUUAGUAUUUCUCUCUUUAUACACGAUAUAUAAUAACUUCACAUUUUAGUGUAACGUAAAAUCUCAGUUCGCGUCGGUAUCAAUGUGUCUAAGUGACAAUAAAGCUAAAAGACAACAAGCGGUCAUAAAAAAAAAAAAAAACUUGAAUGAAUACAUAUCCCGUCAUGCAAAGUGGUCCGCGUGAGCUCUGUGGGCCAAUCAGCGCGCUGCUGCCCGACGCUAGCGUGUAUAAAAUCAACGGGACCCUCCUUUCUCUCUCUCUUCCCUUUCCUGUUCUUCAUGAGGUGAAGAAGUCGGUAUUUGAUAUCGGUUCAACCACUAAUAGCUCUGUCCAGCCUCUCCAACCAUGGAUGUCUGCAUACGAUGCAGGUUUUGGGUUUUGCUGAUGGUGAAAGGACCAAACGGAAACCACUUGCAUGCAGGUGAUCCUCAUGGCUGACCCUAAAGUUACUGCAUGAGGACAGCUCAUGUCAAGGUAUCUCUCUGGCCCAUGAUGUAAAGUCUGGUAUCCUCAGGCUGUGCGGGCUCUCAAACCUUCCUGGUUUGUUAAAGGUUCAGUGGCAUCUUGGUGAGGAGUGCUGGGAAUCCUAACCUGUCUGGGUGAACUGCUGCAGGCCAUCCAGAAGACGGGGUGACACCGAGUUAGAUGUGUUCACUCAGAUUGACCUAACUGUAAAGUGUGGUGCUAAUGAAUGGCAAAUCCUUGACCCAAGUUGUAAAACUUGCAUCAAUGACUGUGUAAUAAAAUGACUUGUCAACCAUUA